rnacentral:sRNA from 1 species
GGGCUGUGAAAGGCCCAAGAAUAACAUGUGAUUGGGGUACAAGGCAGAGAAAUCACUUUCCCUUACAGCAGGAUUCUUGACCCGGGGGCUUGGGCUCCAUAGAGGGAUUUGGGGGAAGGGUCUUUGAACUCCCUAGAAUUGUGGUUGAAAAGGUGUCUGUAUAGGUACAUAUGUGCAUCUUUCCCUGGAAGAGGGUCUGUAACUUCUUAAAGGGAUACAAAGCCCUCAAGGGUUUAGAACCUUUGUACAGGCUUCUCUCAAGUGGGCCAAUUUGGUACCUAUAUCUAGGUAGCAUCUGGAGACUGGGAGUGUUUAUUCAUGACAGUUCCAUCUCCUACAGCUAUUUCCUUCGAGCUACCAUCAGCCGCCGCCUCAAUGAUGUUGUCAAAGAGAUGGACAUUGUAGUUCACACACUCAGCACAUACCCGGAGCUGAACUCUUCCAUCAAGAUGGAGGUUGGGAUUGAGGACUGUCUGCACAUUGAAUUUGAGUACAAUAAAUCCAAAUACCACUUGAAAGAUGUCAUUGUAGGGAAGAUAUACUUCCUGCUGGUGAGAAUCAAAAUCAAGCACAUGGAGAUAGACAUCAUCAAGCGAGAAACGACGGGUACAGGCCCCAACG